rnacentral:rRNA from 1 species
GGGGAUAACCAAACGAAAGUUUGGCUAAUACCGCGUAAGCUCCAAGGAGGAAAGUAGGGGACCUAAAUAAGGCCUUACGCUAUUUGAUCGGCCGAUGUCGGAUUAGCUAGUUGGUGGGGUAAUGGCUCACCAAGGCAAUGAUCCGUAGCGGGUCUGAGAGGACUAUCCGCCACACUGGGACUGAGACACGGCCCAG